AGAUAAGAGGUCUGGAAAGAGGACGCCUAGAAAGAGAGGGAACAUACUUUAAAAGAUGAUGUUGUGUUUAUCUUUAGGAGAGUUCCUAUUUUCAUAGUGUUCUUUGUUUGGUUCCAGAUAUUGUUCCUCACUACAGCUUCUUUACCCUUCUUCUAAGGUGUUCUUACCAGCAGAUUUCAAAAACUAAAAUUUUCUGGUGUUUGAUCAUUGUCUUGUUGAUUGAAAACUUUUAGUGCUGGACAUUUCUGAUUCUUAUCUUUGUAAGUGUAUAAUAUUUUUAUUUUGUAUUUAUUUUCCCCCUUUUUCAUUUAUUGUUUUUCUCUUUCUCGCUUUGUUGAUAUUUUGUUAGAGAAAACUAUUGUAUUCAAACAUAAUAUACAAUA